rnacentral:rRNA from 1 species
GACGAACGCUGGCGGCGUGCUUAACACAUGCAAGUCGAGCGGUAAGGCCCUUUCGGGGGUACACGAGCGGCGAACGGGUGAGUAACACGUGGGUGACCUGCCCUCAGCUCUGGGAUAAGCCUGGGAAACCGGGUCUAAUACCGGAUAAUGACUCCAUGACGUCAUGUUGUGGGGUGGAAAGCCUUGUGCGGCUGAGGAUGGGCCCGCGGCCUAUCAGCUUGUUGGUGGGGUGAUGGCCUACCAAGGCGACGACGGGUAGCCGGCCUGAGGAGGGCGACCGGCCACACUGGGACUGAGACACGGCCCAGACUCCGUACGGGAGGCAGCAGGUGGGGAAUAUUGGACAAUGGGCGAAAGCCUGAUCCAGCGAUG